rnacentral:tRNA from 1 species
GGAAGUGCUCGUCGAUCUGGUGACGGCCUCGGGCUUCAAACCCGAUGGGGGGCAUGGAGACAUGUCCUCGGGGGGUUCGAUUCCCCUGCGCUUCCG